GAUGAACGCUGGCGGCGUGCCUAAUACAUGCAAGUCGAGCGAACAGACGAGGAGCUUGCUCCUCUGACGUUAGCGGCGGACGGGUGAGUAACACGUGGAUAACCUACCUAUAAGACUGGGAUAACUUCGGGAAACCGGAGCUAAUACCGGAUAAUAUAGUGAACCGCAUGGUUCAAUAGUGAAAGACGGUUUUGCUGUCACUAAUAGAUGGAUCCGCGCCGCAUUAGCUAGUUGGUAAGGUAACGGCUUACCAAGGCAACGAUGCGUAGCCGACCUGAGAGGGUGAUCGGCCACACUGGAACUGAGACACGGUCCAGACUCCUACGGUAGGCAGCAGUAGGGAAUCUUACGCAAUGGGCGAAAGCUUGACGGAGCAACGCCGCGUGAGUGAUGAAGGUCUUCGGAUCGUAAAACUCUGUUAUUAGGGAAGAACAAAUGUGUAAGUAACUAUGCACGUCUUGACGGUACCUAAUCAGAAAGCCACGGCUAACUACGUG
rnacentral:rRNA from 1 species